rnacentral:rRNA from 1 species
AGCAGUAGCCACGGUAAAACGAAGGGGGCUAGCGUUGUUCGGAUUUACUGGGCGUAAAGCGCACGUAGGCGGACUUUUAAGUCAGGGGUGAAAUACCGGGGCUCAACCCCGGAACUGCCUUUGAUACUGGAAGUCUUGAGUAUGGUAGAGGUGAGUGGAAUUCCGAGUGUAGAGGUGAAAUUCGUAGAUAUUCGGAGGAACACCAGUGGCGAAGGCGGCUCACUGGACCAUUACUGACGCUGAGGUGCGAAAGCGUGGGGAGCAAACAGGAUUAGAUACCCGAGUAGUCCCUGUCUCUUAUAC